rnacentral:rRNA from 1 species
CAACCCUCGACCUUAGUUGCCAGCAUUCAGUUGGGCACUCUAAGGUGACUGACCGGCUAAAAGUCGGAGGAAGGUGGGGAUGACGUCAAAUCAUCAUGCCCCUUAUGACCUGGGCUACACACGUGCUACAAUGGGCGGUACAAAGGGUCGCGAACCCGCGAGGGGGAGCCAAUCCCAAAAAAGCCGCUCUCAGUUCGGAUUGCAGGCUGCAACUCGCCUGCAUGAAGCCGGAAUCGCUAGUAAUCGCGGAUCAGCAUGCCGCGGUGAAUACGUUCCCGGGCCUU